UACGGAGGGAGCUAGCGUUGUUCGGAAUUACUGGGCGUAAAGCGCACGUAGGCGGCGAUUCAAGUCAGAGGUGAAAGCCCGGGGCUCAACCCCGGAACUGCCUUUGAAACUAGAUUGCUAGAAUCCUGGAGAGGUGAGUGGAAUUCCGAGUGUAGAGGUGAAAUUCGUAGAUAUUCGGAAGAACACCAGUGGCGAAGGCGACUCACUGGACAGGUAUUGACGCUGAGGUGCGAAAGCGUGGGGAGCAAACGGG
rnacentral:rRNA from 1 species